rnacentral:rRNA from 1 species
GACGAACUGUCCUAACGUUGUUCGGAAUCACUGGGCUUAAAGGGCGCGUAGGCGGUCCGCCAAGUCAGGGGUGAAAUCCUGCAGCUUAACUGCAGAAGUGCCUCUGAUACUGGCGGUCUUGAGGGAAAUAGGGGUGUGCGGAACUUCCAGUGGAGCGGUGAAAUGCGUUGAUAUUGGAAGGAACGCCGGAGGCGAAAGCGGCGCACUGGAUUUCUUCUGACGCUGAGGCGCGAAAGCUAGGGGAGCAAACGGG